GACGAACGCUGGCGGCGUGCUUAACACAUGCAAGUCGAACGGAAAGGCCCUGCUUGCAGGGUGCUCGAGUGGCGAACGGGUGAGUAACACGUGGGUGAUCUGCCCCUUACUUUGGGAUAAGCCUGGGAAACUGGGUCUAAUACUGGAUAGGACCAUGCUGUAGGUGGUGUGGUGGAAAGAUUAGUUUCGGUAAGGGAUGAGCUCGCGGCCUAUCAGCUUGUUGGUGGGGUAAUGGCCUACCAAGGCGUCGACGGGUAGCCGGCCUGAGAGGGUGGACGGCCACAUUGGGACUGAGAUACGGCGCAGACUCCUACGGGAGGCAGCAGUGGGGAAUAUUGCACAAUGGGCGCAAGCCUGAUGCAGCGACGCCGCGUGGGGGAUGACGGCCUUCGGGUUGUAAACUCCUUUCAGCCAUGACGAAGCCUUCGGGUGACGGUAGUGGUAGAAGAAGCACCGGCUAACUACGUG
rnacentral:rRNA from 1 species